CAUGUACUCCCUCCGUCCAGAAUUACUUGUCAUCAAAAUGGAUGUGUCUAGAACUAAAAUACAUCUAGAUACAUCCAUUUCAAUGACAAGUAUUUUUGUACGGAGGGAGUAGUAC
rnacentral:pre_miRNA from 1 species